rnacentral:rRNA from 1 species
UACGGGGGGAGCAAGCGUUGUUCGGAUUUACUGGGCGUAAAGGGUGCGUAGGCGGGUCUUAAGUCAGGGGUGAAAGCCCAAGGCUCAACCUUGGAAUUGCCUUUGAUACUGAGGGCCUUGAGACCGGAAGAGGUCGGCGGAACUGCGAGUGUAGAGGUGAAAUUCGUAGAUAUUCGGAAGAACACCAGUGGCGAAGGCGACUCGCUGGACAGACAUUGACGCUGAGGUGCGAAAGCGUGGGGAGCAAACGGG